GGGUUACUGAAGGAAGGGGUUACUACAGCUACAGGUUACUACAGGAAAGGGUUACUACAGCUACAGGUUACUACAGGAAGGCGUUACUACAGGAAGGCGUUGCUACAGCUACAGGUUACUACAGGAAGGCGUUGCUACAGCUACAGGUUACUACAGGAAGGGGUUACUACAGCUUCAGGUUACUACAGGAAAGGGUUACUACAGGAAGGGGUUACUACAGGUUACCACAGGAAGGCGUUACUACAGGAAGGCGUUACUACAGGAAGGCGUUACUACAGGAAGGCGUUACUACAGGAAGGCGUUACUACAGGAAGGCGUUACUACAGCUACAGGUUACUACAGGAAGGGGUUACUACAGGAAGGCGUUACUACAGCUACAGGUUACUACAGGAAGGGGUUACUACAGGUUGCUACAGGAAGGGGUUACUACAGGAAGGGGUUACUACAGGUAGGGGUUACUACAGGUUACUACAGGAAGGGGUUACUACAGGAAGGCGUUACUACAGCUACAGGUUACUACAGCUACAGGUUACUACAGGAAGGCGUUACUACAGCUACAGGUUACUACAGGAAGGCGUUACUACAGGAAGGCGUUACUACAGCUACAGGUUACUACAGGAAGGGGUUACUACAGGAAGGCGUUACUACAGCUACAGGUUACUACAGGAAGGGGUUACUACAGGAAGGCGUUACUACAGCUACAGGUUACUACAGGAAGGGGUUACUACAGGAAGGCG